rnacentral:rRNA from 1 species
UACGUAGGGACCAAGCGUUGUUCGGAUUUACUGGGCGUAAAGGGCGCGUAGGCGGCUUGACAAGUCACUUGUGAAAUCUCCGGGCUUAACUCGGAACGGCCAAGUGAAACUGUCAUGCUAGAGUGCAGAAGGGGCAGUCGGAAUUCUUGGUGUAGCGGUGAAAUGCGUAGAUAUCGAGAGGAACACCUGCGGCGAAGGCGGGUUGCUGGGCUGACACUGACGCUGAACUGCGAAAGCUAGGGGAGCGAACGGG